UACGUAGGGUGCAAGCGUUGUCCGGAAUUAUUGGGCGUAAAGAGCUCGUAGGCGGUCUGUCGCGUCUGCUGUGAAAACUCAGGGCUUAACCCUGAGCUUGCAGUGGGUACGGGCAGACUAGAGUGCGGUAGGGGAGACUGGAAUUCCUGGUGUAGCGGUGAAAUGCGCAGAUAUCGGGAGGAACACCCGUAGCGAAGGCGGCACUCCUGGGCCGGAACUGGAACGCUGAGGAGCGAAAGCGUGGGGAGCAAACAGG
rnacentral:rRNA from 1 species